UACGUAGGGACCAAGCGUUGUUCGGAUUUACUGGGCGUAAAGGGCGCGUAGGCGGCAUGACAAGUCACUUGUGAAAUCUCCGGGCUUAACUCGGAACGGUCAAGUGAUACUGUCGCGCUAGAGUGCGGAAGGGGCAAUCAGAAUUCUUGGUGUAGCGGUGAAAUGCGUAGAUAUCAAGAGGAAUACCUGAGGUGAAGACGGGUUGCUAGGCCGACACUGACGCUGAGGCGCGAAAGCGUGGGGAGCGAUCCGG
rnacentral:rRNA from 1 species